rnacentral:rRNA from 1 species
GAUGAACGCUGGCGGCGUGCCUAAUACAUGCGAGUCGAGCGAACGGACGAGAAGCUUGCUUCUCUGAUGUUAGCGGCGGACGGGUGAGUAACACGUGGAUAACCUACCUAUAAGACUGGGAUAACUUCGGGAAACCGGAGCUAAUACCGGAUAAUAUUUUGAACCGCAUGGUUCAAAAGUGAAAGACGGUCUUGCUGUCACUUAUAGAUGGAUCCGCGCUGCAUUAGCUAGUUGGUAAGGUAACGGCUUACCAAGGCAACGAUGCAUAGCCGACCUGAGAGGGUGAUCGGCCACACGGGGACUGAGACACGGUCCAGACUCCUACGGGAGGCAGCAGUAGGGAAUCUUCCGCAAUGGGCGAAAGCCUGACGGAGCAACGCCGCGUGAGUGAUGAAGGUCUUCGGAUCGUAAAACUCUGUUAUUAGGGAAGAACAUAUGUGUAAGUAACUGUGCACAUCUUGACGGUACCUAAUCAGAAAGCCACGGCUAACUACGUG